rfam:Paenibacillus polymyxa SC2, complete genome.
GAGGCUGUAUCGAUAUAUUCGAACGGUACUCUGGUAAGGUGUAAUUUAAUAAGUAUAAGCGUGAGCCUAUGGAGGUGAACUCGUUGGAUUUUGCUCUGAUCCGAAAGGACCGAGACAAAAGA